GAGUUUGAUCGUGGCUCAGGAUGAACGCUGGCGGCGUGCUUAACACAUGCAAGUCGAGCGAAGCGGUUUUGGAAGUCUUCGGACGGAAGAGAGCGACUGAGCGGCGGACGGGUGAGUAACGCGUGGGUAACCUGCCUCGUACAGGGGGAUAACAGUUAGAAAUGACUGCUAAUACCGCAUAAGCGCACAGGAUUGCAUGAUCCGGUGUGAAAAACUGAGGUGGUACGAGAUGGACCCGCGUCU
rnacentral:rRNA from 1 species